UACGUAGGGGGCAAGCGUUGUCCGGAUUUAUUGGGCGUAAAGAGCGUGUAGGCGGCUUGGUUGGUCCGCUGUGAAAACUCGAGGCUCAACCUCGAGAUGUCGGCGGAAACCACUUGGCUAGAGUCCGGAAGAGGAGAGUGGAAUUCCUGGUGUAGCGGUGAAAUGCGCAGAUAUCAGGAAGAACACCUAUGGCGAAGGCAGCUCUCUGGGACGGUACUGACGCUGAGACGCGAAAGCGUGGGGAGCGAACAGG
rnacentral:rRNA from 1 species